CUAGAACUAGGAAACCUGGCCGGGAUUUAAGCUUCUUUUGCUUUGAUAUUUACCUGCUCCAGGUCGGUCCCUAGUCUAUGUGCUACGACAACUUCUCUGCUCAUGGUGAAGCAGAUCAACACGGUGAAUAUUUCAGUGUCAGGUGGCUUUGGAUAGUAGACAUGUAGUAAGUUUUUUACGGAGUAUAAUGUAGUAGGAGAUUUUAUUCUCGAAUGUCAUGGCGCUUUACUGUUGAGAUUAUUGGGGCAUGGAGGACAGGAAUGGAAAUGAG
rnacentral:lncRNA from 1 species